rnacentral:misc_RNA from 1 species
GGAAGCAUGAAUCUGCAAGUACACAGCAACAAGUACAAAUAAAAAUGAAAUUAAUUGAUGAACAGUUCAGUUUGCACAAAAGAGAGUUCCAUUGACUUGAUAUAUGGUACGUCUAACAAGGAAACAGCAGCUAAAAAUUCCUCUUUCUUAAAGGGUAAUAUUCCUCAAUUUCGACAUCAGUAAUAGCCAUAAUAAGCGCUGUCCGCCAACAAGAUAUAAGUUCUUGUACGUGAAAUUCAUAAAUUUAAGUUCACAGUUUAGAAGAUACAUCUUGGAAAUUGUAUUAGAGAUUGGCAACAAAGUCUCAGUAUGAUGUAAGUGUUUUCCCCCCGGUGCAACAAACAAUGAGAAUGGCUAGUGAGUCAAAAAUGAUAGAAGACAUUCUAAAAAGGGGAAGGAGAGAGAGGCAAGAUGAAUUUGAACAAAAUGCACAAGCAAACAAGAAAUCCUGGGAUUCAGGCACCCCGAACCAAAGGAAAGCAACCCAGAUAAAAGCACAACAACAGCAGAGAAAUGAGAACAGAAUACAACUUCCACAAAGUCAAAAGAAGUGCACAGUCA